CUUAAGCAUAUCAAUAAGCGGAGGAAAAGAAACCAACAGGGAUUGCCCCAGUAACGGCGAGUGAAGCGGCAACAGCUCAAAUUUGAAAUCUGGCGCAAGCCCGAGUUGUAAUUUGUAGAGGAUGCUUCUAGGUAGCGACCGGUCUAAGUUCCUUGGAACAGGACGUCAGAGAGGGUGAGAAUCCCGUAUGUGACCGGCCCGCGCCUUCCACGUAGCUCCUUCGACGAGUCGAGUUGUUUGGGAAUGCAGCUCUAAAUGGGAGGUAAAUUUCUUCUAAAGCUAAAUACCGGCCAGAGACCGAUAGCGCACAAGUAGAGUGAUCGAAAGAUGAAAAGCACUUUGGAAAGAGAGUUAAAAAGCACGUGAAAUUGUUGAAAGGGAAGCGCUCACAACCAGACUUUGGGGCGGUGUUCCGCCGGUCUUUUGACCGGUCUACUCGCCGUCCCGAGGCCAACAUCAUCUGGGACCGCCGGAUAAGACCGUAGGAAUGUGGCUCCCCUCGGGGAGUGUUAUAGCCUACGGUGAUGCGGCGCGUCUCGGGUGAGGUCCGCGCUUCGGCAAGGAUGUUGGCGUAAUGGUUGUCAGCGGCCCGUCUUGAAACACGGACCAAGGAGUCUAACAUCUAUGCGAGUGUUCGGGUGUCAAACCCCUACGCGAAAUGAAAGUGAACGGAGGUGGGAAGGGCAACCUGCACCAUCGACCGAUCCUGAUGUCCUCGGAUGGAUUUGAGUAAGAGCAUAGCUGUUGGGACCCGAAAGAUGGUGAACUAUGCCUGAAUAGGGUGAAGCCAGAGGAAACUCUGGUGGAGGCUCGCAGCGGUUCUGACGUGCAAAUCGAUCGUCAAAUUUGGGUAUAGGGGCGAAAGACUAAUCGAACCAU
rnacentral:rRNA from 1 species